rnacentral:rRNA from 1 species
GAUGAACGCUAGCGGCAGGCCUAAUACAUGCAAGUCGAACGGUGUCUUCGGACAUAGUGGCGCACGGGUGCGUAACACGUAUGCAACCUACCUUACAUUGGGGGAUAGCCCUUCGAAAGGGAGAUUAAUACCGCAUAAGACAGUAGCUGGGCAUCCAGCAGCUGUUAAAGAUUUAUCGAUGUAAGCUGGGCAUGCGUCCAAUUAGCUAGUUGGUGAGGUAACGGCUCACCAAGGCAAUGAUUGGUAGGGGAACUGAGAGGUCAAUCCCCCACACUGGCACGGAGAUACGGGCCAGACUCCUACGGGAGGCAGCAGUAGGGAAUAUUGGGCAAUGGACGCAAGUCUGACCCAGCCAAGCCGCGUGCAGGAUGAAGGCGUUAUGCGUUGUAAACUGCUUUUAUACAGGAAGAAACGACUCUUGCGAGAGGCAUUGACGGUACUGUAUGAAUAAGCACCGGCUAACUCCGUGCCAGCCGCCGCAGUAAUAC